UUUUCUCUCAGAUCGGCGAACAUUUCGAUCUCUGAUUGCAAUCGAUUGUUGAGAAGUGUCAAAAUCAGUUGGGGUGAGAUACCUCGUAAAUCCAGCAACCUGCAAUUUUUCGUGACCCUACCGAUUUUUAGUUUUCCAAUUUGUACCCGGAAUAUCUCUCCAAAAGGAGUAAUCAUACGACAAAAACGAGCACUUGUUUUCCUCUCAUACCAGCAGCACUUCAAGACUUAUGCGAUAUUGAAGAUUGUACUCGAAAAAAAUGCAACACUUUUUAUUGUAUGGGUAAAAAUUGAUGAAAUUUUGGGUAAAACUAGUUUAGAGUAUAAUGUUUACAUGUUUACUGUGCUUCGACAAAAAUUAUGGGCGCGGUCGUGAAAGUCCAGGCCAGUCCCACAGGUGGAUCGCGAAACUGGUGGGAAACGACCAUUCGAACAUGUCCAGUGUGGAAACCCAGACGACACAUCGGCAAGUUGGCAGCGGAAGAAAAGCGAAGACGAACGAGCCUCCGAAGGCAAGGAAGGUGUGGCAUUACUUCAAGCGCAGUCCAAACCUUUCGAUUCGGGAAGUGGCAAAAAGAUCAAAUCUUCCGUCUGGUUCGACCAGCAGACAAUUAAGCGGGCCGGACUUCAUGUCUUCAAGUUGUUUGUAUGUUGGCAUCUUUGAGUGACGGUGCGACGAACGUGUUAAAAAGGAAGAACGCAUAGCAGAGGUCAGCAUUCCAUGUGCCUUUCCGGGGGCUCGUAGGGCGUCUGGCCGACCCCAGCCAUCCAGCCGUUAUCAGAUUCGCCACUCUAUUGCUACCAAGGAAUAACCAGCCAAAAUCAACAUGAAAUAAAACAGAAAGUAUCAUAAUAGGAGUAUGAGUAUUCUCUCAAUUUUAAACAUGAAGCCCCUCUAAUUACCCAGCUUACUACGAUCCUGACAUACAGUAUGAGGGGUUGCUAUUGAGAUUUUUCCGGAAACAGACAGUAUAGAGUGACAAUAUAGAUUAAAUAAUAUAUAAUAAAAGGAAAAUAGAAAAGGAUGAAUGAUGUACCCUAAUCAUGUA